GACGAACGCUGGCGGCAGGCUUAACACAUGCAAGUCGAACGGAAAGGCCCUGCUUUUGUAGGGGGCUCGGGUGGCGAACGGGUUAGUAACACGUGAUUAACCUUCCCUUGACUCUGGGAUAACUUCGGUUAAUUGGGGCUAAUACCGGAUAGUAGCUCCUGCUGCAUGGUGGGGGUUGGAAAGUUUCGGCGGUUGGUGAUGUACUCGCGGGUGAUCAGCUGGUUGGGGAGGUAGUGGCUGACCAAGGCUUUGGCGUGUAGCCGGCCUGAGAGGGUGACCGGGAACCUUAGGACUGAGCUACGGGCCAGACUCCUGCGGGAGACAGCAGUGGGGAAUAUUGCACAAUGCGCGGAAGCCUGAUGCAGCAACGCCGCGUGAGGGAUGAUGAACUGCGGGUUGUAGACCGCUUUCGCCUGUGACGAAGCGUGAGUGACGGUACUGGGUAAAGAAGCACCGGCUAACUCCGUG
rnacentral:rRNA from 1 species